AUGAACGCUGGCUACAGGCUUAACACAUGCCAGUCGCGGGGAAACGACGGGGAAGCUUGCUUCCCCGGGCGUCGACCGGCGCACGGGUGAGUAACGCGUAUCCAACCUGCCUCUGACUGAGGGAUAACCCGUCGAAAGUCGGCCUAAUACCUCAUGGCAUCGUCUGCGGGCAUCCAACGACGAUUAAAGAUUUCAUCGGUCAGGGAUGGGGAUGCGUCUGAUUAGCUUGUUGGCGGGGUAACGGCCCACCAAGGCUACGAUCAGUAGGGGUUCUGAGAGGAAGGUCCCCCACAUUGGAACUGAGACACGGUCCAAACUCCUACGGGAGGCAGCAGUGAGGAAUAUUGGUCAAUGGGCGGGAGCCUGAACCAGCCAAGUAGCGUACAGGAUGACGGCCCUAUGGGUUGUAAACUGCUUUUAUGCGGGGAUAAAGUGAGGGACGUGUCCUUCAUUGCAGGUACCGCAUGAAUAAGGACCGGCUAAUUCCGUG
rnacentral:rRNA from 1 species